rnacentral:lncRNA from 1 species
CAACGAGAACACAUUGUUCAAUAUGUAAACUUUCUGCAAGGUUUCUCUAUCACUUAGAAUGCAAAUUUUAGGACAAUACAAUAAAGGACAACAUAAGGAUUUGGUAUAAUAAUACAAUUAUUUUUUAGAUUUUUAUUUAUAAAACUCAAAAGUUUAGUUAUCUAUUCAAACAAGAUAUAAAAAGAAUCCCACGUUCAAGGUAUUACUCAGUAAAUACAUAUAUAUCUUAACUUAAAAUUGACUAUUCUAGCUUAAAUCAAAUUAAAUUUUUUGGAUCCUUUUAUUCGCUAGGAGCUGAAUAAGAAGAAACUCUCACGUCCGAUUUUGUAAUAGAGAUGAAAUUCAGAAACAACCAUCAACUAUAACCCAUAGUAAGUACAAAACAAAAGAAAAGAACAAAGGUGAAAUUAACUUGACCUCCCAAAGAUUUCUUUUUCCUCGAAAAUCAAAACAAAGCUUAGAUAUUGAAAAAAAAAAGUAGUUCAAAAGAUUCGCAUUUAUUCAAUAUAAAAAAUGAAGCCAAGCAUCAGACUUGCCUAAGAUUUGCAUUUAUUCAAUUCAUCCUUUUUCCCUUGUUCUUGUUCUUGUUUUUGUUUUUGCGCCUUUCUUUUCCACUCCUAUCAAAACAAGUAUAAUUAUCCCCUCGUAACAUUGCCAUUUAUUUCUUGAAAUCCCCCAAAUAAAGAAGGGAGGAAAAAGAAAACAAUAUUAAAAAUGAAGAAGAAGAGGAGGAGGAGGUAAGUGUUAGGAAGAAAAACGGUGGAAUAUUUAUAAGGGAAAUGGAUAAAUCACUUAGUUCAUAGGUGAGAA